rnacentral:tRNA from 1 species
GCGGACGUAGCCAAGUGGACCAAGGCAGUGGAUUGUAAAUCCACCACACGCGGGUUCAAUUCCCGUCGUUCGCC